rnacentral:rRNA from 1 species
GGGUUGUGAGGUUAAGCGACUAAGCGUACACGGUGGAUGCCCUGGCAGUCAGAGGCGAUGAAGGACGUGCUAAUCUGCGAUAAGCGCCGGUAAGGUGAUAUGAACCGUUAUAACCGGCGAUUUCCGAAUGGGGAAACCCAGUGUGACUCGUCACACUAUCAUUAACUGAAUCCAUAGGUUAAUGAGGCGAACCGGGGGAACUGAAACAUCUAAGUACCCCGAGGAAAAGAAAUC